rnacentral:rRNA from 1 species
ACGAACGCUGGCGGCGUGCCUAAUACAUGCAAGUGGGACGCAAGGAAACACACUGUGCUUGCACCCCGUGUUUUCUUGAGUCGCGAACGGGUGAGUAACGCGUAGGUAACCUGCCUAUUAGCGGGGGAUAACUAUUGGAAACGAUAGCUAAUACCGCAUAAUAUUAAUUAUUGCAUGAUAAUUGAUUGAAAGAUGCAAGCGCAUCACUAGUAGAUGGACCUGCGUUGUAUUAGCUAGUUGGUAAGGUAAGAGCUUACCAAGGCGACGAUACAUAGCCGACCUGAGAGGGUGAUCGGCCACACUGGGACUGAGACACGGCCCAGACUCCUACGGGAGGCAGCAGUAGGGAAUCUUCGGCAAUAGACGAAAGUCUGACCGAGCAACGCCGCGUGAGUGAAGAAGGUUUUCGGAUCGUAAAGCUCUGUUGUAAGUCAAGAACGUGUGUGAGAGUGGAAAGUUCACACAGUGACGGUAGCUUACCAGAAAGGGACGGCUAACUACGUG